AUUGAACGCUGGCGGCAUGCUUUACACAUGCAAGUCGAACGGUAACAGGUUAAGCUGACGAGUGGCGAACGGGUGAGUAAUGCAUCGGAACGUGCCCGGUCGUGGGGGAUAACGCAGCGAAAGCUGCGCUAAUACCGCAUACGAUCUGAGGAUGAAAGCGGGGGACCGUAAGGCCUCGCGCGAUCGGAGCGGCCGAUGUCAGAUUAGGUAGUUGGUGGGGUAAAGGCUCACCAAGCCGACGAUCUGUAGCUGGUCUGAGAGGACGACCAGCCACACUGGGACUGAGACACGGCCCAGACUCCUACGGGAGGCAGCAGUGGGGAAUUUUGGACAAUGGGGGCAACCCUGAUCCAGCAAUGCCGCGUGAGUGAAGAAGGCCUUCGGGUUGUAAAGCUCUUUUGUCAGGGAAGAAACAGCAGCUCUAACACAGUUUGCGAAUGACGGUACCUGAAGAAUAAGCACCGGCUAACUACGUGCCAGCCGCCGCGGUAA
rnacentral:rRNA from 1 species